GAAGCUGCGGGCUUGCAGGUUCUCACCAAUGCCUAUUUCCCAGAGGCCAAGGUAACAUGUUCAUACUCUGCAUGACCAUCUUGGACUUCAGACUUGGCAGCUAGUCAUUGCUUUUGCUCAAAACCAGACCCUGAGAGGAACAUGAACUUGAUCCCUGCAAUAAAUCAAGUUCCAAUACAGGAUGAGGAAAAUGAGGAACAAGUCCACUCAGCUACUAAUUCGUGGAGAACAAGAAUCACGUCCAGUCUGAUUCCAAGAUCUACACUCAUCCUAUCCAUAUUAUGCUGCCUUCUCAGGAUAGCAAGUAGUUUGGCUCCUUAAGUGACACUGGAUAUCUUUUUUAAAGAACCCAUGUGUUUGUUUAUGACAUGACUCAAUCUUGCUGGUGAUCUGGAAGGUCUGGUGCCUACUCAUGGAUUCUUUGAAUAAGCCCCAUGUUCUUGCUACUGAAUAAACAUGAUGUAUACCCCAUGUUAUCAAGAGGAUUCAUAGAUGAACAUGUGCUGGGUGCCUCUAAAGAAAGUAGAUCAACAAGUUUUUUUCUUUUGGUGAAGAGCAGAUGGGCUCAAAAUAAACCUCUGGUUCAUCAUACACGCUCAGACAACCCUCCAGGAAAGGGAGGUCAGGAAAGGGAGGUUUUUGCCCUCCUUUGCAAGGUCUGUCCUGAGAUGUCAUUGUCCGGGCUUGGGAAGUACAGUCUCUGUCUGCCACACCAGGAAUGCCGUCAGCUUGAGAGGCAUGAGCCAGGAUCCAGCCUUAGAGAGCACUGCCAUCUCCUGGAAAACCCUCUAUACAUGAGGCCUGCUGUCUUCGCUCCUCCAACGCCACAAAUCAGAAAACAAGGCCUUGGUCACGGCCCUCUAUCUUUAGCACCAAAGGUCUGGGUACACAGAACCUUCAUCUUCUGCCCCUUCAAAUUGGAACACGCCAAUUCCUGAAGGAAAUGAAAAGAUGCAACUUGUCUCCCGAUAGAUUGAGUGAAUUACUAUCAGCAAACAAAUGAUAGUGGGAAAGAAAAGCUAUUAAUAAGAAGCAAUGAUGGAAGAAUAAGAAACGGGACAGAGAAAGAAUUGGCAACAAUAAUCCAUUACCCAGUGUUGACUAUUUACAGAAUAUUUUACUCAUAUUUUACAUCACCAUUACAGAGUAAAUGAAGAGAAUGUCUCAUUUUGUCUUCUGUCUAUAUUGGCAAGGGUCAAAAGUGUUGAGCCUCAAAGUCACUUUUAAGUAGUGAUUUGGGAGGUAUGCCCCCUUGUAGUAGCAUGCUUACCUUUAGAUAAGUCAGAAACACUGUACUCUGCUGGAAAAAAUAUAAGGGCCAGAAACAUCAGGGUCUGACCUCAAGAGAAGCAGCAGGAGAGCAAAGCCAACAUUGAUGAACCAGAUGAAGACAGAAAGAAAUGGGACAAUGGCUUAAAGUGAUCCAUGAAAACUAAUGAGAUUGGAAUAAAAUAAAAUUGGGUAAAGAGUGGAUGACUGAA
rnacentral:lncRNA from 1 species